AUUGAACGCUGGCGGCAGGCUUAACACAUGCAAGUCGAACGAGUGGCGGACGGGUGAGUAAUGCUUGGCAAUCUAGCUUAUGGAGGGGGAUAACUACGGGACACUGUAGCUAAUACCGCGUACCAUAGGAUGAGCCCAAGUGGGAUUAGGUAGUUGGUGAGGUAAAGGCUCACCAAGCCGACGAUCGCUAGCUGGUCUGAGAGGAUGACCAGCCACGCGGGGACUGAGGCACGGCCCAGACUCCUACGGGAGGCAGCAGUGGGGAAUAUUGCGCAAUGGGGGCGACCUGACGCAGCCAUGCCGCGUGAAUGAAGAAGGCCUUCGGGUUGUAAAGUUCUUUCGGUAGCGGGGCAUUAACUACAGAAGAAGCACCGGCUAACUACGUGCCAGCAGCCGCGGUAAUUC
rnacentral:rRNA from 1 species